CACCCAGCUUCCUCUCUGAUGACCAGAAGCAGCAGCUCUUCGUCUGAGAUGAGACAAAGACAGUUCCUUCUUCUGAGCUGGUGGGUUUCCUCCUGGCCCCUCAGAAGAGUUCCUCUCAUCCCCGAGAAGAGGAUUUUUCACUUCACAAGAAGGGAAGCUGAUUAACAAGGGCCACCACCUUGCCUGUGCCCUCUGGAGUGCCACAGAGCGUAGAGUGAAAGCUGCUUACAGGCCAACUUCUUCAGAUGCAGGAACAGGAGCGAGAGAAACAAGAUGCCUUGUCCAAGAUCGCAAAGCUGAUGGAGACAAAGCGAGCCGGGGCCUUGUGGGGUAAAGGCUAGCAUGCAUAGCGCAUGCUCUCUCAUGAUGCUGGGCAGGGACGGCCACAGCUCCUAGUCAGCCACGUGAUCACCAGGACAAACAACAGAUACACUGCAGAUGACCAUUCUGUUUUUCACUUUCAAUACAGUAUUCAGUAAAUUACAUGAGAUAUUAAAC
ensembl:lncRNA